rnacentral:rRNA from 1 species
CGUGCCUAAUACAUGCAAGUCGAGCGAAUGGAUUAAGAGCUUGCUCUUAUGAAGUUAGCGGCGGACGGGUGAGUAACACGUGGGUAACCUGCCCAUAAGACUGGGAUAACUCCGGGAAACCGGGGCUAAUACCGGAUAACAUUUUGAACCGCAUGGUUCGAAAUUGAAAGGCGGCUUCGGCUGUCACUUAUGGAUGGACCCGCGUCGCAUUAGCUAGUUGGUGAGGUAACGGCUCACCAAGGCAACGAUGCGUAGCCGACCUGAGAGGGUGAUCGGCCACACUGGGACUGAGACACGGCCCAGACUCCUACGGGAGGCAGCAGUAGGGAAUCUUCCGCAAUGGACGAAAGUCUGACGGAGCAACGCCGCGUGAGUGAUGAAGGCUUUCGGGUCGUAAAACUCUGUUGUUAGGGAAGAACAAGUGCUAGUUGAAUAAGCUGGCACCUUGACGGUACCUAACCAGAAAGCCACGGCUAACUACGUGCCAGCAGCCGCGGUAAUACGUAGGUGGCAAGCGUUAUCCGGAAUUAUUGGGCGUAAAGCGCGCGCAGGUGGUUUCUUAAGUCUGAUGUGAAAGCCCACGGCUCAACCGUGGAGGGUCAUUGGAAACUGGGAGACUUGAGUGCAGAAGAGGAAAGUGGAAUUCCAUGUGUAGCGGUGAAAUGCGUAGAGAUAUGGAGGAACACCAGUGGCGAAGGCGACUUUCUGGUCUGUAACUGACACUGAGGCGCGAAAGCGUGGGGAGCAAACAGGAUUA